UAACUGCCCAUCAUCGAGCUUGCAACUGGUCAUCAACCAACAACCUGAGACCUUCAUCCUAUAGUUGAAUAAUAUACAUAAAUGACACUUAUGAAAAUUAAUUUUUUUUUGUAAAAUGUUCAUUACUUUAUAUCUGGUACUGGUUGUCUCGAAAUUCGUAGGAAUAUGUUACCAUCAAUGAAGAGGUCUGAAUUACAUAAAUAGUGGAUGAAUUAAUGAUAAUAACUGCCCAUCAUCUAGCUUGCAACUGGUCAUCAACCAACAACCUGAGACCUUCAUCCUAUAGUUGAUUAAUAUACAUAGAUGACACUUAUGAAAAUUAAUUUUUUUUUGUAAAAUGUUCAUUACUUUAUAUAUGGUACUGGUUGUCUCGAAAUUCGUAGGAAUAUGUUACCAUCAAUGAAGAGGUCUGAAUUACAUAAGUAGUGGAUGAAUUAAUGAUAAUAACUGCCCAUCAUCGAGCUUGCAACUGGUCAUCAACCAACAACCUGAGACCUUCAUCCUAUAGUUGAAUAAUAUACAUAGAUGACACUUAUGAAAAUUACAUUUUUUUUUUGUAAAAUGUUUAUUACUGUAUAUCUGGUACUGGUUGUCUAGAAAUUCGUGAUUAUAUGUUACCAUUAA